UAGCGUAUAUUAAAGUUGUUGCAGUUAAAAAGCUCGUAGUUGAACUUCUGGUCAAGCGUGACCUUGGCUUCGGUCGAGGCAGGCAUGGCCAUCCGUCAGAAAACCAGGGAGGGUCUUAAGUGAUCGCUCUGGGGAUCUGACACUUUACUUUGAAAAAACUAGAGUGUUCAUGGCAGGCUAACGCCCUGAAUACACAAGCAUGGAAUAAUAGAAUAGGACUGGGUCCAUUUUGUUGGUUAUUGGACGCAGUGAUGAUUAAUAGGGACAGUUGGGGGCAUUAGUAUUUAAUUGUCAGAGGUGAAAUUCUUGGAUUUAUUAAAGACUGACUUAUGCGAAAGCAUUUGCCAAGGAUGUUUUCAUUGAUCAAGAACGAAAGUUAGGGGAUCAAAGACGAUCAGAUACCGUCCUAGUCUUAACUAUAAACUAUGCCGACUAGGGAUUGGCCGGGUUGCAGCUCGGUCAGCACCUCGAGAGAAAUCAAAGUCUUUGGGUUCUGGGGU
rnacentral:rRNA from 1 species